rnacentral:rRNA from 1 species
GACGAACGCUGGCGGCGUGCUUAACACAUGCAAGUCGAACGAAAAUACCAAGCUUGCUUGGUUGAUUAGUGGCGAACGGGUGAGUAACACGUGAGUAACCUGCCCCUUACUUUCCUGGAUAACUGCUCGAAAGGGUAGCUAAUACGGGAUAUUCUGACCAGCCUGCAUGGGUUGGUUUGGAAAGGUUGUUUUUCUGGUAAGGGAUGGGCUCGCGGCCUAUCAGCUUGUUGGUGGGGUGAUGGCCUACCAAGGCUUUGACGGGUAGCCGGCCUGAGAGGGUGGACGGUCAUACUGGGACUGAGAUACGGCCCAGACUCCGACGGGAGGCAGCAGUGGGGAAUAUUGCACAAUGGGCGCAAGCCUGAUGCAGCGACGCCGCGUGAGGGAUGAAGGCCUUCGGGUUGUAAACCUCUUUCGUCAGGGAACAAGGCACUGCUUUUUUGGUGGUGUUGAGGGUACCUGGAUAAGAAGCGCCGGCUAACUACGU